rnacentral:rRNA from 1 species
AGAGUUUGAUCCUGGCUCAGAUUGAACGCUGGCGGCAUGCCUUACACAUGCAAGUCGAACGGCAGCACGGGGGUAACCCUGGUGGCGAGUGGCGAACGGGUGAGUAAUACAUCGGAACGUGUCCUGUAGUGGGGGAUAGCCCGGCGAAAGCCGGAUUAAUACCGCAUACGAUCUACGGAAGAAAGCGGGGGAUCCUUCGGGACCUCGCGCUAUAGGGGCGGCCGAUGGCAGAUUAGCUAGUUGGUGGGGUAAAGGCCUACCAAGGCGACGAUCUGUAGCUGGUCUGAGAGGACGACCAGCCACACUGGGACUGAGACACGGCCCAGACUCCUACGGGAGGCAGCAGUGGGGAAUUUUGGACAAUGGGGGAAACCCUGAUCCAGCAAUGCCGCGUGUGUGAAGAAGGCCUUCGGGUUGUAAAGCACUUUUGUCCGGAA